CUAGAAUAUACGAGCCACCCCCACAUCUCCCCUCACUCCCCGGUUCCCCAGCGCCUGUUGCUAAGGAGGCUAGACGGCACUAGGCAAGCCUAGCGACCAGGUGACAGCCCGCUGGAGGAGCUCUGAGCACGAGGGCGGCUGUGAGAGCAGGGCUCUAGGCCAGCCCGGGACCCCUUCUGCAGGCAGGGUGCGCCCUCCGCAAGGUUCCAACGCCUGCAACACCCCCAUACACACUCAGCAUGUGGAGGAAGCCGGGUUAGCAAAAGGCCCGCUCCCAGGAGCGCGGCUCCCUUCCCGGGCCCAGGAAACUCCGCCGGGUUCCGGAGGCCUCUGGCCCAGCACUGUGGAUGCCAGUGGGCCCAGACAGCAGGGUAGGACCUCAGAGACAGCCUUGGGAAGGGCAGGCACUCACCAUGUUGACUUCAGAAACCAUGUCGAUGCUGGCGAUGUCGAUGUUCAUCCCCACGCAGACUGGGGGACCUGCGGGAAGCGCACCACACGGUGAUCAGCCAGGCUCCGAUAUUUUCCUUAUAUUGGAAGAAGACAAGGCACAGAGAUCUUAAAUUUAUCUUUGCAAGUUCAACCUGUCUGUAUCUCCUCAAUGAACCCACUUCAUGUCACUUCGUGUUGAAUAUUUUAAAAAUUACGGUUGGUUCAACACUUAUCAGUUCCUGAGAUAAGAAGAUCUCUAAAAGAUGUGGAACCAGGGAAAUGGAGAAGGGGAACCUGGCCACUUCCUUUAUCUUCAGUCCUUGGGAGAGGAUCUGAAGAGUUAAGUUGGUUGUUAAGUAAAACAAUGUACUCAUAAAACAUCUGACGAAAGCCAUGUGUGCAGUGGGCGUGCAACCAAUUCUAUAUAUUCCCCUGCUUGUAGGCACCAUGCAAUUCUCCAUUGCAUCCCAGCCUGCCACCAUUGAGGAAUGUAAGUUAUAAAAUGUCUAAAACUUGACUGCUAAGUCCUCUAAGUUCUCUCUUUGGGAUCAGUAAACAGUAUGCUUGGGACCUUUGCAGCCUUGGGGUUAACAAAUAAUCACAGACAUGGGAAGAUUCUUCGAAUGAUGAAACCUUUGAGUCCACCAAAGUGAAAUCCUCAUCAUUAAGUGAUGCCUGACUGUAUAUAAGCAGCCUCUCCUCGCCCCCUUCUUUUUUAAAAAAUGUUUCUCCAAUAGAAUGUAGACUCAAUGAGGCAAGCAUUGUUUUGCAUCAAUAAAUGGAAACGCUGCAACGUGGGGAGUUGAAAUGAUUUGAACAAUGUGGCAGAACUAGUAAAUGGAAAUGCCUGGCAUAAAGAGAGUCUCUCCCUGAUUUCCACUAAGAAGAGAUGCCUUAGAGAUAAGAUGGGUAACUGCAUGGAACUCAUAUAGAUCCAGAGCAUGGGAUGAUGUUUUCUGUAGCACUACAAAAAGGUUGCAGUAAGUCAUGUUGUUUUGUGAGGAAGGAAGGUUGUUUGUUUUUAUUGUGGGCUUGAACCUCUCUCCCUUUUAGUGUUAAAGUGCAUCCCACUUAGGUGAGCCAAUACCUGCAUAAACAUGAAGUGACAAGCAUGCUAAAGACUGGUCUGGGGGAACACUUGUAGUCACUGGGGACAUGAGUGAUGUGGGCACACUGUCUUCACAUCCUCACCUUCUUCCUAUGAGACCACCGUCAUUGCCCCAUUUAGAAAUGAAGGAUCGAAAGUCCUCAAUCACUUAGCCAAUGUUACCCAGGUGCAGUAUCAGUGCUUGGACCCAAAUCUGCCUGAUGCCCAAACCUGUACCCCUUCUUCUUCUUCUUCUGGUAGAAACAGCCUAAGGAACUUCCAGAGUCAUUUUAUUAGAGUCACUGUACAACAGCUUCUUACACUGAGUACGUAAUGGAAGACUUCUUGCUUAGUUAGGGAAACCCAUUAUGUUUCUUUUUAACUGUGUGGCUCUUUGAUGUUAAUUUCUUCUAAGCACUUAAGAAGCUCCUUAAUUUAUGCUGGUGUUUGAAUUAGCACAGCAUUAUUUCAAAAGAUGACAGUAAUUCAGAAUUCCAAAGCCUGGAAAACAUUCAAUCAAAACAAAACCAAAAGCCUGCAAAGGUAACAUUGCAUUGGGUGGUACCUUUCCUUUGAAAAAGGCAAGGGAAUAACUCCUCUACCCAUCCAUAAACGUGCUUUCUACAGAAACAGAUAUCAUUCCAAAUUUUAUGAUACUUGGAAAAAAAAAGAAAAACUUGCAUGGCUUGCUAAAUCAAUGGAGCUUGAUGUAAACCUGAUGUCAUUUCAUUCAGGAAUUAACUCAUUUUUCUGUGUUUGAAAUUUCAAACAAGCAAGGCCUGACCUCAUCCAAACUCUGCAGAUACAUUUUUCACCUAAGACACCCAUUCUCCAGAAUAAUAACUUUGUUGGAAAAAUGAGUAUAGGCGAAUCUCAUAUUGUUAUGGAAGCACCAGGAACACUCUCACUUAUGUUUUGUCCAGGACAAUAUACAGUACAAAAAGGAGUCAAUUUCCUUCUUCCCUUACCAUUUGUCAAUCCAGAGCUGAUUGUUUUUCUUUCCAAGGAAGGCGCCUUUCACAUUGAUGUGAUUGAAAUUCCUCUGCAGAAUUUCUCUUGGUUCUUGGUAAGACCUUGAUGGAGUACCCUACUCUUUUUGAAUUAUUAAUCCAUCAAAUAGUUUAAUGCACUGGUGAGGUUACAGCUCUCAUGGCCCAAUCGUUUCCUAAAAUCCCCACAUCUGCCAUGCAUACUGUGAUUUCAACACAUGAGCAUUUUGGAAGAUAUUCCAGAUCCAAACCACGGCAGUGCUUAUAUGUGUUGUUUCCUUCUAUUUUUGAGAACACUUUUGUUAAAACUAAACAUGUAAAACAAAAAUAUUUACUUCAACAAUUUAUUAUAAAGCUAAUUUAACAUCUACUCUAUCAGGAAAUACUGGUAUGUAUAUUCUUGUUUUCCAUCAAUUUAUAUUAAUCUUUUCUCACAAAUGACUUCUAAAUUAAAUUUUUUGUUUCAUUUAUUUUUGCUCUUGCAUUUAUUAUUGUCUUUCCUAUUUACUAUGCAGCUACUUGCUUUUAAAAGCAUCAAUGAAAAAUUCUAGCUUCUAAAGUGAAUUCUUGGGAAAAUAAAAUUUGUUUAUCUGAUUUAUCAUUAUUGGUCCUGGGGAUUGAAUCUAGUGCUUCAUGUGUGGUCAGUAUGUAUACUACCACUAAGUUACAAGCACAGGCUAGGAAACUUAAAAUUAUAAGAACCACUUAAAGUUAUAAAUUUUCCUGUAAGGACCACUUUAACCCACAGAUUUUAAUAUAUUUUUAUGAUCACUCAAUUUAAGUUAUUUUUUAAAUGGUCUUUUUGAUUUCUUUUCUGAACUGCAAAACACAAAGAAAUGUGUUUUCAAUUUCCAAAUAUUUAGAGGCAUUACCAGAAAUCUUUUAGCUCUUCACUUCCAAUUUAAUUUCAUGUUGACAGAGAACAUAUUCUGUAUGAUUCAAUUCUUUUGAACUACUGAGACUUGUUUAGCCCAGCAUACACUAUAUUUUGGUGAAGUAGUAUGUACAAUAUAAAAAUUAAAAAAGAGGGUACUUUCUGAAGAUUUUGGCUGCAAUGUUAUGUUAAUAUAAUUAAGUCAAGAUGGCCUAUAGCAUUGGUAACUUGCAUGUUGCUGACAUAUUGAAGUGAAAAUUAGUUUUAUAUAUUAAUCUUCUAUUCAGCAAUUAUUAAACCUAUUUGCUAUUUCUAAUAAUUUAUCUCUGUAUUCUUUUGGAUUUUCUGUGUACAUAGUAAUAAAAUCUAAUUAAAACUA